rnacentral:lncRNA from 1 species
UUAAAUUCACAUAAAUAAUUCAAGACACGUUAAAUCGAUUUCAAUUAACUGUUUAAAUGAUAAUGUAUAAAUAUUGUAUUUCGCUUAGAUUUAUAUACUUAUACUGCAUCUAUUCUUUCCUAUAGAUAUUAACGCACACAUUUUGGAAGAAACAACGGAUCACCCAUUGUUGCGAGCAUACAGAGAUGUUUUGUGGAUGCGAGCGAAACGAACUUGCUAACGUAUAUUUCUCUUGUAAUUAAUAUUAUUUAAAAUUAACAAUAGGAGAUAGAGCGAAGGAGGAAGAUAUAGGCACGAACCUAUAUAAUUCGCAUUAGCAAAUUAACGAUACGAGAUAACAAAGAAGGAGGAUAUAGGCACAGACCUAUAUAAUUCGCAUUAGCGAAUUAUCGAUAUGAGAUAGUAAAGAAGGAGGAUAUAGGAACAGACCUAUAUAAUUCGCAUUAACAAUACAACAUAGUAAAGGCAGGAGAUAUAGGCACGGACCUAUAUGAUUUGCAUCGAGCGAGGUAACAAUUCGAGAAAAAGACGAAGUAAUUGAUAGUUUGAUCUUAAUUUUGUUCGAUCUUGAUAAAAGUCGAAAUGUAAAUUAAACAAAAUCUUUUGACAAUUUAUCGAUGCAUUUGGCUUCGUCUGGAUAAAUCAACACGAGGAAGGCGAGGAUUUUGGAGUCAUCUCAGAACUUUCUUCAUACAAUAAGAGUUAAAAUUCAAAGUUCCUUCAAUGCUCAAUUAUGCCAAGAAUGAAAGGUCCAAUAUCGACACAGAUAACUUGUAUGCGUAGAUUUUUCUUGUCCGAAACAAAGAUAAGCGACUUUGAGUAAGACAUUUGUUUUUGCUCACGAGUGAUCUCCAAAAAAUGUUGUAGAAAGAAAAUUUUAUUGUGAUUUUUAUAUUAUGUAUUUGCAUAUUUAUUUUACUAUUAAAUCAGACCAGGAUCUUUUUGUUUCAUCGGUUUUAAUUCACUUAAUUAACAGUGCAACAAAUUAAGGGUGGUUGAGAAGUAUGUCAAAAGUUACAAACAAAAUGAAAAUUUAAGAGAAUGUCUCUUAUUUAAUGCUUAAGAAAAUAACUAUUAUACCUGCUUUUAAGUAAAUAAUAUUGUAAAAAGCAGAAAUAAUGAAAAAUUCGAAUUCUGAUGUAACUCAUAUACAAUGUAAGUGUGUCUCCGAAUGCAAUUGUAAUAAAAACUUUUAUGUUGAAA